rnacentral:snRNA from 1 species
GAACUUGCUUCGGCAGUACAUUUACUAAAAUUGGAACGAUACAGAGAAGAUUAGAAUGGCCCCUGCGCAAGGAUGACACGCAAACUCUUGAAGCGUUCCAUAUUUUU